UACGUAGGGGGCUAGCGUUGUCCGGAAUCAUUGGGCGUAAAGCGCGCGUAGGCGGCCUCAUAAGUCCGUUGUGAAAGUCAAAGGCUCAACCUUUGAAAGCCGAUGGAUACUGUGAGGCUAGAGUCCGGAAGAGGCGAGUGGAAUUCCUGGUGUAGCGGUGGAAUGCGCAGAUAUCAGGAGGAACACCAAUAGCGAAGGCAGCUCGCUGGGACGGUACUGACGCUAAGGCGCGAAAGCCAGGGGAGCGAACGGG
rnacentral:rRNA from 1 species